rnacentral:rRNA from 1 species
AGAGUUUGAUCCUGGCUCAGAUUGAACGCUGGCGGCAUGCUUUACACAUGCAAGUCGGACGGCAGCACAGGGAAGCUUGCUUCUCGGGUGGCGAGUGGCGAACGGGUGAGUAACAUAUCGGAACGUACCGGGUAGCGGGGGAUAACUGAUCGAAAGAUCAGCUAAUACCGCAUACGUCUUGAGAGGGAAAGCAGGGGACCUUCGGGCCUUGCGCUAUCCGAGCGGCCGAUAUCUGAUUAGCUGGUUGGCGGGGUAAAGGCCCACCAAGGCGACGAUCAGUAGCGGGUCUGAGAGGAUGAUCCGCCACACUGGGACUGAGACACGGCCCAGACUCCUACGGGAGGCAGCAGUGGGGAAUUUUGGACAAUGGGCGCAAGCCUGAUCCAGCCAUGCCGCGUGUCUGAAGAAGGCCUUCGGGUUGUAAAGGACUUUUGUCAGGGAAGAAAAGGCCGUUGCCAAUAUCGGCGGCCGAUGACGGUACCUGAAGAAUAAGCACCGGCUAACUACGUGCCAGCAGCCGCGGUAAUACGUAGGGUGCGAGCGUUAAUCGGAAUUACUGGGCGUAAAGCGGGCGCAGACGGUUACUUAAGCAGGAUGUGAAAUCCCCGGGCUCAACCCGGGAACUGCGUUCUGAACUGGGUGACUCGAGUGUGUCGGAGGGAGGUGGAAUUCCACGUGUAGCAGUGAAAUGCGUAGAGAUGUGGAGGAAUACCGAUGGCGAAGGCAGCCUCCUGGGAUAACACUGACGUUCAUGUCCGAAAGCGUGGGUAGCAAACAGGAUUAGAUACCCUGGUAGUCCACGCCCUAAACGAUGUCAAUUAGCUGUUGGGCAACUUGAUUGCUUGGUAGCGUAGCUAACGCGUGAAAUUGACCGCCUGGGGAGUACGGUCGCAAGAUUAAAACUCAAAGGAAUUGACGGGGACCCGCACAAGCGGUGGAUGAUGUGGAUUAAUUCGAUGCAACGCGAAGAACCUUACCUGGUUUGACAUGUGCGGAAUCCUCCGGAGACGGAGGAGUGCCUUCGGGAGCCGUAACACAGGUGCUGCAUGGCUGUCGUCAGCUCGUGUCGUGAGAUGUUGGGUUAAGUCCCGCAACGAGCGCAACCCUUGUCAUUAGUUGCCAUCAUUCGGUUGGGCACUCUAAUGAGACUGCCGGUGACAAGCCGGAGGAAGGUGGGGAUGACGUCAAGUCCUCAUGGCCCUUAUGACCAGGGCUUCACACGUCAUACAAUGGUCGGUACAGAGGGUAGCCAAGCCGCGAGGCGGAGCCAAUCUCACAAAACCGAUCGUAGUCCGGAUUGCACUCUGCAACUCGAGUGCAUGAAGUCGGAAUCGCUAGUAAUCGCAGGUCAGCAUACUGCGGUGAAUACGUUCCCGGGUCUUGUACACACCGCCCGUCACACCAUGGGAGUGGGGGAUACCAGAAGUAGGUAGGGUAACCGCAAGGAGUCCGCUUACCACGGUAUGCUUCAUGACUGGGGUGAAGUCGUAACAAGGUAGCCGUAGGGGAACCUGCGGCUGGAUCACCU